UACGUAGGCAGCGAGCGUUGUUCGGAGUUACUGGGCGUAAAGGGUGUGUAGGCGGUUCUUUAAGUUUGGUGUGAAAUCUCCCGGCUUAACCGGGAGGGUGCGCCGAAUACUGAGGGACUAGAGUACGGGAGAGGAAAGUGGAAUUCCUGGUGUAGCGGUGAAAUGCGUAGAUAUCAGGAGGAACGCCGGUGGUGUAGACGGCUUUCUGGACCGUAACUGACGCUGAGACACGAAAGCGUGGGUAGCAAACAGG
rnacentral:rRNA from 1 species